rnacentral:rRNA from 1 species
GGUUAACCUGCCGCAGAGAGGAGUAUACCCUUGGGAAACUGAGGUUAAUUCUCCAUAGGCCUUGGCAUCUGGAAGGAGCCAAGACUAAAAGAGGAGUGAAACGCAGCUUUUUCGCUCUGCGAUGGGACUGCGCUGGAUCAGGCAGAUGGCGGGGUAACGGCCCACCAUACCUAUAACCCAUAGGGGAUGUGAAAGCAUAAGCCCCGAGAAGGGCACUGAGACAAGGGCCCUAGCGCUACGGCGUGCAGCAGGCGCGCAAACUCCACAAUGCACGUAAGUGUGAUGGGGGAAAUCUGAGUGGUUCACUUCGGUGAACCUUUUGCCAAGUAUAGCAAGCUUGGAGAAUAAGUGCUGGGCAAGACCGGUGGCAGCCGCCACGGUAAUACCGGCAGCACAAGCGGUGUCCACGAUUAUUGGGCUUAAAGAGUCCGUAGCUGGUUGAUACCGUCUCACGUGAAAUAUUGGGGCUCAACCUCAAUGCGCGCGUGAGAUACCUAUCGACUAGGGAGCGGGUGGGGUCAGGAGUACUUAUGGGGGAGGGGUUAAAUCCUGUAAUCCUAUAAGGACUAACGGUGGCGAAGGCGCCUGACUAGAACGCAUCCGACAGUGAGGGACGAAGGCUAGGAGAACGAAUCGGAUUCGAUACCCGAGUAGCCCUAGCAGUAAAUGAUGCAGACUCUGGUGUUGCAAAUGCUUAAUGCGUUUGCAGUACCGUAGUGUAAACGUUAAGUCUGCCGCCUGGGGAGUACGGCCGCAAGGUUGAAACU